AGGAAUGAAGCUCACUCACAUCUAGAGACGGCGCCAGCCUGCCGGCGUUACAGGGAGCUCAGGAGCAGGAGGGCAGUGCUGUCACCUGGUUGAGUCUCACUCCACAGCCCAGGGCUGCAGACACCCCACAGACACUCAGCGGAGGGACCAAGCAGCAAGGACCUAGACAAGGUGACAGACCCCUGCUGCAUUCAGAAGUCUCUGGAAGGAAGUAGAAGUGAAGGAGGCCUCUUACCAAAGACAACACCUCAAAGUCCCAGGUGCAGAUCCAAAAAGGUCCUGAAUACCAGGAGUAUCCCUGGGAAGACCAGCCCUGAUGACAGCAGCAGAGGGCACAGCCCAGCUCUCUCUCCCUCCCUCUCUGCUCCCUCCCUCCUUCCUGGGGACAGUGUCAGGUGGCCCUGCCAAAGCACACAGAACUCGCCAGAAGACGGAGCUGUUGGGGUCCCAGAUUGGCCUGGGGAACUGGCCCCGAAUCCCCUCGCUAUGUCUGAAGGAUCAUUACGGUGGGAUACAGCCCCUUAAGCUAAGCCCGACAUCCCAUGUCCACCUCACUCAGCCCUGAGCUCCUGGGAAGCAGGCUCAGCCCAGGGCCGGUCUCCAAAUGCACCGGAUAAUUAAAACAACUUCUGCUCGGGCUACCUGCCCCCUACCCCCGUCGCCCUGGCCCUCUCUCCCAUUG